rnacentral:misc_RNA from 1 species
GUCCAGCACGUUGUAGGCCG